CCUAGGCCCGGCCGCGCGACGCGCGUGCUCCUUCCCUGGCUCCCCGCCCUGUUUUCCCUCACCCUCCUGGGAACGUAACGCGGGGUUCGCAGCAUCUGGGCGCCUACCGGGGCGCGUCGACACAGGGUCUAGCAAGAAGAGUGACUCGGAGCUACAGUGGUAAUUCGGCGCUGAAGCCAAGUCGAAGACGCGGAGUGUACACACGGCCCUGCGGCCACUGGAGGGGAGCGCCAGGGCAGCUCUGGCAAGAGGCGGUAGGUGGGAGCGAGUCGAGGCGGCGUUUGUCUCCUUCUGCUUGCCGUAGGAAGUGGAGUGCUGGAAGCCUAAAGAGCGACUCGCCUCUUUCCCAAACCUUACAGUCGCCCCACCCCCUCCUUCGCGGCCCGUUACAGGAAUCCGGCCACCGCCACCACCGUAGGGAGUACUUGGGGGUUGUCUGUAGAGUCACGGCUGCAGUGGGCAGCCUUUGUCCAAGGGACGUUCGAUUUUCUCCUCGCCCUUAGCUUUUGUGCCGCGGAGAGGCAGUGCGCUGCUAAGAAACACCGGGGCUGUCCACGCCGGCAUCGCCGAAGUCCCUCGCCACUGUAGGUCGUUUUCCUUUGGAGAUUAUUCCAGCACAGGAGAGCGUGAGCGGAAAUUAAUGUCCGCAUGCAGUCCCUGCGCUGUGCCAAGUGCUGGACUACGUUACCUGUUUAAUUUAGCCCUUACAACACCAAAGGCAGAUCUACCGGGCAACCGGUCCCCAGUUUGAUGCAACUUAAUUUUCUCACGCUGAAUUGCAGUCUAUUUUCGUUUUGUCAGAGCCAUGCUAAGAGGUUUACAGCAGCCAUUAAUUUAAUGUAGAUAAACUAUCUAUAAACCGACAGAGUGACGUGAGUUAUAUUUAUUCCCUGCCUCUCCGUGUUUAUUAAGAUAACUUAAAAUGCCUUUGAGAUGAGUGGAAUUCAGCGUCAUUUCAUUCACACCUCCCACCACCAUAAUUAACUAGUUUACACUCCCUCACAAUCUCAUUAACCUUUUCCCCGUCUGUCUUUAGUCUUCACAUUCAUUCACCUAAUUCUACUGUUUGAUCCCGCCCAGGUUCUCUUAUUUUUUUUCCCUCCCAGGAUACACUUGAAUCACUGCAGCUCUUGGGGACCUGAAGUCUCCCCUUUCAGUACUUCCAACAUAUGACUACCAAUUGUUAGAGGAGGUGCUGCUUGACAAGGUGACUGUAAUAGCUGCCAUAAGACAGGCAUCCUAAACUAAUUCAUUUCCUAGAUAUCCAGGUACUGGAUAAAAAAAAAAAAAAAGCUUUUUUUUCCCUCUAUUCUUUAACCACUUUCAAGAACUUUCUCAUCUCAGCCUCAAAGUCUAACCAAAUUUCCCUUACCAGAAGUUUGGACUUGCUUGGAUCUGUCCCCCUUUCUUUUUUCCAGUUUAUCUUUGGUAAUGGCACUAUCUGACCUAUGGGUGCCCCACCAUUGUAUUCUGGAAACACUUAUUAACUUGUCUGAUUCACAGCUGGAAAAGAAUUUUGCCUCAGGAUGACUCAAGAAGGGUCUGCAGCAUUUGGGCGCACCCAUACCUGAUUUAGCUAAUACAUACUGAGUAUUCUUUAUCUGAAAUGCCACAACUAUAAGUGUUUCAGAUUGGGAUUUGUUUUUUUGAAUACUUGCAUUUAUAUAAUGAGCUAUUUUAGGGAGGGGACCCAAGUCUAAAUGAAGUUCAUUUAUGUUUCAUAUACACAUGAUACACAUCCUGAAGGUAAUUUUAUAUAAUAUUUUAAUAAAUGUAAAAACGGAGUUUCUUGGGAUUUUCCACUUGCAGUAUCAUGUCAGCAUUCGAAAAUUUUUGGAUUUUGAAGCCUUUCAGAUUUCCAGAUUAAGGAUGCAUCAUCUGUAUUUUUCUGCUUUGUUUUGCUUUGUUUUUUUAAGAUGGGAUCCUUAUGUUGCCCAGGCUGGUCUGGAACUCCUGAGAACCAGGGAUCCUCCUGCUUCAGAUUCCUAAGUGCUGAAAUACAGGCAUGUGCUGCCACACAUCCAACUUCAUCUGUAUGUAAAUAAGACUUUGGACUUACAGUUCAGCAACUGAAAUGCUCAACUUUUGAGGCGGUUGAUAUAGGGUAAAUAAAAUUUUCAUGUGAGAAAGACAUGAAUUUUGAGGAUAUGGAAGCAUAGCAUUAUGGAUUGAAUUGGUUUCCCUCAAAACUCAUGUUGAAAUUUUACUCUCCGAUGAAGUCAUACCCAAUCUGGUAUUUUGAUGUGACAGCCCCAAACAGACCAAUAUAAAUACCGGGAAGAAAGUUAAAAGACAACACAGAAUGGGGAAAAGUUUUGCAAGUAAUGUAUCUGCUAUUCUCCCUACAAAGUACAAAUCAAAAUUAAACUAUAAAAAGAUACCCAGGCCUGGAGGCAGACACCUGUAAUCCCAGCAGUUUGGGAGGCUGAGACAGGAGGAUCAUGAAUUCAAAGCCAGCCUCAGCAAAAGCAAGGUGCUAAGCAACUCAGUGAGACUCGUUCUUAAAAUAAAAUACAAAAUAGGGCUGGGGAUGUGACAAAGUAGUUGAGUACCCCUGAGUUCAAUCCCCAGUACCAGAAAAAAAAAAAAAAAACAAUAAAAAGACUAAUCCAUUUUAAAAAUAAGGAAUACUGGAUGCAGUGGCACUUGCCUUUAAUCCUGGUGAUUCUGGAGCCAGAGGCAAGAAGGUUACAAGUUCAAGGCCAACCUAGGCAAUGUGUAUAGAGACCCUGUCUCAAAAUAAAAUAAAAAGGACUGGGGAUAUACCUCAGUGGUAGAGUACUCCUGGUUUCAAGCCCCAGUAUGAUAAGAGAGAGAGAGAGAUUUCUCCAAAUAUAUUCAAAUUGUUAAUAAGGAUGUGAAAAGUUCCUCAACAUAGUCAUUAGGAAAAUGCAAAUCAAAACUGAAACAAGAUACCAUAUUAAACCCAUUAAGAAGGCUAAAAUUAAAAAGAAAUGUUGGUUAGAGUGUGAAGAAUUGGAGCCCUCAUAUAUUGCUACAGGCAAUGUAAAAUGAUGUAGCCAUUUUGUAAAAUCAUCUGCCAGUCCUUUGAAAAGUUAAAGUUUCCCUAUGACCCAUCAAUUCCACUUCUAAGUAUAUAGCCAAGAAAAUGGAAAACAUGUCCACACAAAAGUUUGUAUGUGAAUAUUACAGCAGCAUUAUUUAUAAUAAAUAUACAGUAGAAACUAAAUCCCUCAUGAUUUAUGAAAAAGAACCCCUAGCUUUUCAUUCAUUGCUGGCUUGCAAGAAAAUGAGGGCAUUGCCCUUAAAGUCUUAGUGGCCUAUAAACAACAAUUUUUUUCCUCACUAGAUUGGGAAUUUGUAACUGUUGGGAGUGGCAGGGGCAAGAGUUGACUGCCCUGGCAGCACUCUAGAUACAAGUCAAAUUCAAGUCACUUCCACAUGUCUCUCAUUCAAGGACCAGAGUAAAGGAGUGGUAUUUUCCUGAUGAUGAAAGAUAAGCACACUACAGAACUACUAAACUACAGAAACUGAUGUGAAUAGAAGUUCUGUGUGCUCACAUUAACAAAGCAAGUCAUAUAGUUAGGUCCAACAUAGUGGUAUAAGGAAGUAUACUCUGCCCACUCAUUCCACAGAGUAGAGGGAGAGAAGAAAAAGGGGAAGAAAAAUGACUUGGCCUUACCUUUAAGAAAACUCAACAAAAAUUGUGCACUUCACUAAUCCAUGUAUCUCAGGGUAAAAUCUUAGUGUAUACAAAAAAAGAAAAUUUAGUACAUUGUCAUUCUUUGUCUGAAGGCAGAUAAGAAAUACAGCCUCCAUUCUGGAUUGUCAUGUACCCAAGUUAAAAUUAAGAAUAUCUAUUACUACUGGCGUAGUGGCACAUGCCUGUAAUCCCAGCAGUUUGGGAGGCUGGGGAAGGAGGAUCAUGAACUCAAAGCCAGCCUCAGCAAUUUAGUGAGGGCCUGAGCAACCCAGAAAGACCCUUUCUCUAAACAAAAUAUAAAACAGGCUGGGGAUGUGGCUCAGUGGUUAAGCGCUCGUGGGCUUCAACUCCUGGCACCAAAAAAAAAAAAAAAGAAUAUUACUAAAAACCAAGGAUCAAGAAAUGGGAUACCAUCAAAUUAAAAGCUACCCAGCAAAGGAAAUGAACAUGAAGAGAGAGCCUAUAGAUGGAGAAAAUCAUGACCAGCUAUCUACUCCUUUAUUAGGGGAUUAAUAUUCAGAAUAUAUAAAGAACUCAAAAGAUAACCCAAUCAAUAAGAGAGCAAAAGAACUCAACAAACUUCUCAAAAGAAGAAACACAAAUGGCCAACAAAUACAUGAAAAAAUCUUCCAACAUCUCUAGCAGUCAGAGAGAUGCAAAUCAAAACUACACUAAGAUUUCAACUUACUCCAGUCAGAAUGAUAUUGAUCCAAAAUACAAACAAUUAUAAACUUUGGUGAGGUUGGUGGGGAAAAGAAACACUUAAACAUUAUUGGUAGGACUACAGACUUAUAAAACCACUCUGGAACGCAGUAUGGUGAUUCCUCAAAAAACUAGGAAUGGAACUACCUACCAUGUGAUCCAGCUGUCCCACUCCUUGUAUUUUCCCAGAAGAUCUAAAGUUGGCAUCAGUAGUGAUACGGCCACUUCAAUGUUUAUAGCAGCAUAAUUAACAAUAGCUAAAUUAUGGAAUCAACAAUGGAGUUCUGCUCAGUCAUAAAAGAGAAUGAAAUUAUGAUGUUUGCCAGUAAAUGGAUGGAAAUGGAGAAUAUCAUGCCAAGUGAAAUAAACCAAACUCAGAAACUCAAAGGUUAAAUGUUUUCUCUCAUGUGGAAGCUAGAGUAAAAUAAAGGAAAGAAGGAGGGAAGGAUAGUACAACAUGAAGAUAAAGGGAAGAUCAGUAAUUUAGAAGAGAGAUUGAGAGGUGGAGUGGAAGGAUGGAUAAGGGGAGGCAAUGCAGAAUGAAUUAUUUAAAAAUCAUGUGUAUGUAUGAUAUACCACAGGAAAUUUCACCUUUAUGCAUAAGUAAAAAGAACCCAUCACUUAAAUGUAUAGAUGAGUGAAAGGAAGUCUAGUAAAGUAGAAGAAGGAGAAUGGGAGAUGGGAAGGAGGACAGGAGGGAAAAGGCGAUAAUCGCGGACUGGAAUUGAAUUCCAUACAUGUAUGAAUUUGUCAGGAUGAACCCAAUUACUAUGCAUAACUAUAAAGCUCUAAUAAAAAUAAUAAUAUUAAUAAUCCCCUUAUAUUUC
rnacentral:lncRNA from 1 species